AACGCACCUUGCGCUCCUUGGUAUUCCGAGGAGCAUGCCUGUUUGAGUGUCAUUAAAUUAUCAACCUCACCAGUUUUGUUAUGAGACUGUGUAAGGCUUGGAUGUGGGGGUUUCUGCAGGCUGCCUCUGUGCGGUCUGCUCCCCUGAAAUACAUUAGCGAGUUCACUAAGCUCCGUCUAUUGGUGUGAUAAUUAUCUACGCCGUGGAAUGGGUUUAGACUUGCUUCUAACCGUCUGCAAAGACAAAUUUUGACAAUUUGACCUCAAAUCAGGUAGGACUACCCGCUGAACUUAA
rnacentral:misc_RNA from 1 species